UUAUAAAUAUUUUUUGAGGUCUCAGUUAAAAUGUCAGAAGUUGGACAAAGUUCAAAAGAAAAUAACUAUGAAGAAGAUUAUUCUUGUGAUUUUGUCAAAAGAAAAGUAGAUGUUGUGAAGAAAGAUUUGAAUUUAAAAGAUAUGGAUAUAUUAAACACUGAGUUCGGUAAUUGAAGUUAAUGUUUGUUUUAAA
rnacentral:lncRNA from 1 species